AGAAUAUCUAUACAAAAUUAAAGUUUAAAAGGCCUUUGCCUCUCGUGCAGCUGAGAAUAGACAACUUAUAAGCCUUAUCCAAAAACCAUGAUAAAGGGAUCAUGUGCAUCCUUACAAAAACCCCUUAUCCUGUGCAUACUUACAUCCAAGUACAUCCUAAGGAAGGUGUCCGUGCAUUCAUCUGCCACAGUGGGGAAGCUGCCUGGUGCAAGGUGUGAGUCCUGGAAUGAUUAGUGAUAGUGGUCUCAAAUGAGGACACCUUCGUCUCCCACCAGUUUCCUUCCUAUGGACAGGCUCAGUCCAGUUAUACAGGCCAGGAGGGGCUGGUGCCCACAGCCUCCCGCCUCUGCAAGGUAGGAUUGCAUAUCUCAAACAUCUCUAACUCAGUUUCGGCUUUGUUGGUCUUGUUUAAGGAAAUAAGCCAGUAAGCCAAAACUAUUUUUGUUGUUGUUCUCUUGUCUUCUGAAAGAGAGGGGAUAUCAAUUUUAAAUGUUUCUCUCAAUUUGAUCUUUCAAAUUUUUCUAAUAAAGUGCCAAAUUGC
rnacentral:lncRNA from 1 species